GACGAACGCUGGCGGCGUGCUUAACACAUGCAAGUCGAGCGAUGAAGCUCCUUCGGGAGCGGAUUAGCGGCGGACGGGUGAGUAACACGUGGGUAACCUGCCUCAUAGAGGGGAAUAGCCUUCCGAAAGGAAGAUUAAUACCGCAUAACAUUGCAGUACCGCAUGGCACAGUAAUUAAAGGGGCAAUCCGCUAUGAGAUGGACCCGCGGCGCAUUAGCUAGUUGGUGAGGUAACGGCUCACCAAGGCGACGAUGCGUAGCCGACCUGAGAGGGUGAUCGGCCACAUUGGGACUGAGACACGGCCCAGACUCCUACGGGAGGCAGCAGUGGGGAAUAUUGCACAAUGGGGGAAACCCUGAUGCAGCAACGCCGCGUGAGUGAUGACGGUCUUCGGAUUGUAAAACUCUGUCUUUGGGGACGAUAAUGACGGUACCCAAGGAGGAAGCCACGGCUAACUACGUGCCAGCCGCCGCGGUAAAAC
rnacentral:rRNA from 1 species